GCUGUGUCUGGGGUGCUCUGCAGCUGAGAGGGAGAAGGAGCUGGGUUCUCAGGAGUUGCCUCCAUUUCUCCUUCUGGGUCUGCUGCUUCUGGGUCUGCUGCUGUUACUCCCGAGUCAUCCUCAUCUGAUGAGUCCUCUGACGGGGCCAUGACAGAGCUUUGUUAUUGCCUGAGACCAGAGAGCAGCAGCCCCACCUCACUCCCUGUUUACCGAGCCCACAGUGCCUUCCACAGUUUCCGGUAUUGCAGCCGGAGGUGAAGGGAAGGAGCAUCUCUGUCUCCCACCUGCAGUCACUUACAGCAAUAAACUUCUCUGGAGCCACUUCCAAGAAUUUUGCCCUCAUGGUCUGCUAAGAACUUCCUGUAGCUUUCUUCCCAGGCAUCCAAAGACUCCUCCAGAGGAUAGCAGUGGGAUCAAUCAAAGAUUUGGUCCCAACCUGUAUCUCUUGAAAAGAACUCAAGAUAAGUCCAUAGUCUAUAAGUACCUGCCUGUUUUAUUUCUGCCCAGUGCAGCCAACUGGACCCCCUUCAACUGUGAACUAAGCAUGUGCUCAAUAAAUAAAGAACGUGGGCAAGAAAAAAGAAGCAAGGGAUUAAUGGUCUGAGUAUUUUCAGUGCUCAGAAUGAGAACUGGGAAAACCUGGGUUCAAAUCCUGGCUCAGCUAUGAAGCAUACUGACUGAUCCUGGCCAGUGAACUCUCCCUCAACCUAAUCUACCCUGCAGGGUUGUUAUGAGGACAAAGGGGACUAACCCUUAUGUAAGCUUGAAAGCUCUGUGAAGGAAGGGAUAUACAUAUUGUGAAUAAAUGGGGUGUUGAAAUAUG